GAUCAUGGCUCAGGAUGAACGCUGGCGGCGUGCCUAACACAUGCAAGUCGAACGAAGCACUUUUUUACGAUCCCUUCGGGGUGACGAAUUUGUGACUGAGUGGCGGACGGGUGAGUAACGCGUGGGAAACCUGCCUUGUACCGGGGGAUAGCAGUUGGAAACGACUGAUAAUACCGCAUAAGCCCACAGUAUCACAUGAUACAGUGUGAAAAAACUCCGGUGGUACAAGAUGGUCCCGCGUCUGAUUAGCUUGUUGGCGGGGUAAUGGCCCACCAAGGCGACGAUCAGUAGCCGACCUGAGAGGGUGACCGGCCACAUUGGGACUGAGACACGGCCCAAACUCCUACGGGAGGCAGCAGUGGGGAAUAUUGCACAAUGGAGGAAACUCUGAUGCAGCGACGCCGCGUGAGCGAUGAAGUAUUUCGGUAUGUAAAGCUCUAUCAGCAGGGAAGAUAAUGACGGUACCUGAGUAAGAAGCUCCGGCUAAAUACGUG
rnacentral:rRNA from 1 species